GUCCCGUUCGUCUAGAGGCCUAGGACGCCGCCCUCUCACGGCGGCAACAGGGGUUCGAAUCCCCUACGGGACGCCA
rnacentral:tRNA from 1 species